UUACCCGCUGAACUUAAGCAUAUCAAUAAGCGGAGGAAAAGAAACCAACAGGGAUUGCCCCAGUAACGGCGAGUGAAGCGGCAACAGCUCAAAUUUGAAAUCUGGCCCCUCCGGGUCCGAGUUGUAAUUUGUAGAGGAUGCUUUUGGUGAGGUGCCGCCCGAGUUCCCUGGAACGGGACGCCACAGAGGGUGAGAGCCCCGUCUGGCUGGCCACCGAGCCUCUGUAAAGCUCCUUCGACGAGUCGAGUAGUUUGGGAAUGCUGCUCAAAAUGGGAGGUAUAUGUCUUCUAAAGCUAAAUAUUGGCCAGAGACCGAUAGCGCACAAGUAGAGUGAUCGAAAGAUGAAAAGCACCUUGAAAAGAGGGUUAAACAGUACGUGAAAUUGUUGAAAGGGAAGCGCUUGUGACCAGACUUGGGCGCGGCGGAUCAUCCGGGGUUCUCUCCGGUGCACUUCGCCGCGUUCAGGCCAGCAUCAGUUCGUCGCGGGGGAAAAAGGCUUCGGGAACGUGGCUCCUCCGGGAGUGUUAUAGCCCGUUGCAUAAUACCCUGCGGUGGACUGAGGACCGC
rnacentral:rRNA from 1 species